rnacentral:rRNA from 1 species
CGCCGGAAGACCAAGGGUUCCUGUCCAACGUUAAUCGGGGCAGGGUGAGUCGACCCCUAAGGUGAGGCCGAAAGGCGUAAUCGAUGGGAAACGGGUUAAUAUUCCCGUACUUCUGACUAUUGCGAUGGGGGGACGGAGAAGGCUAGGUGGGCCAGGCGACGGUUGUCCUGGUUCAAGUGCGUAGGCUUGAGAGUUAGGUAAAUCCGGCUCUCUCUAAGGCUGAGACACGACGUCGAGCUGCUACGGCAGUGAAGUCAUUGAUGCCAUGCUUCCAGGAAAAGCCUCUAAGCUUCAGAUAGUCAGGAAUCGUACCCCAAACCGACACAGGUGGUCGGGUAGAGAAUACCAAGGCGCUUGAGAGAACUCGGGUGAAGGAACUAGGCAAAAUGGUACCGUAACUUCGGGAGAAGGUACGCUCUUGAUGGUGAAGUCCCUCGCGGAUGGAGCUGACGAGAGUCGCAGAUACCAGGUGGCUGCAACUGUUUAUUAAAAACACAGCACUGUGCAAAAUCGCAAGAUGACGUAUACGGUGUGACGCCUGCCCGGUGCCGGAAGGUUAAUUGAUGGGGUUAGCGCAAGCGAAGCUCUUGAUCGAAGCCCCGGUAAACGGCGGCCGUAACUAUAACGGUCCUAAGGUAGCGAAAUUCCUUGUCGGGUAAGUUCCGACCUGCACGAAUGGCGUAAUGAUGGCCACGCUGUCUCCACCCGAGACUCAGUGAAAUUGAAAUCGCUGUGAAGAUGCAGUGUACCCGCGGCUAGACGGAAAGACCCCGUGAACCUUUACUACAGCUUGGCACUGAACAUUGAACCUACAUGUGUAGGAUAGGUGGGAGGCUAUGAAGACGUGACGCCAGUUGCGUUGGAGCCGUCCUUGAAAUACCACCCUUGUAUGUUUGAUGUUCUAACUUAGACCCAUUAUCUGGGUUGAGGACAGUGCCUGGUGGGUAGUUUGACUGGGGCGGUCUCCUCCCAAAGAGUAACGGAGGAGCACGAAGGUGGGCUAAUCACGGUUGGACAUCGUGAGGUUAGUGCAAUGGCAUAAGCCCGCUUAACUGCGAGAAUGACGGUUCGAGCAGGUGCGAAAGCAGGUCAUAGUGAUCCGGUGGUUCUGUAUGGAAGGGCCAUCGCUCAACGGAUAAAAGGUACUCCGGGGAUAACAGGCUGAUACCGCCCAAGAGUUCAUAUCGACGGCGGUGUUUGGCACCUCGAUGUCGGCUCAUCACAUCCUGGGGCUGAAGUCGGUCCCAAGGGUAUGGCUGUUCGCCAUUUAAAGUGGUACGCGAGCUGGGUUUAGAACGUCGUGAGACAGUUCGGUCCCUAUCUGCCGUGGGCGUUGGAAGAUUGAAGGGGGCUGCUCCUAGUACGAGAGGACCGGAGUGGACGAACCUCUGGUGUUCGGGUUGUGUCGCCAGACGCAUUGCCCGGUAGCUAAGUUCGGAAUUGAUAAGCGCUGAAAGCAUCUAAGCGCGAAGCGAGCCCUGAGAUGAGUCUUCCCUGAUACUUUAAGUAUCCUAAAGGGUUGUUCGAGACUAGAACGUUGAUAGGCAGGGUGUGUAAGCGUUGUGAGGCGUUGAGCUAACCUGUACUAAUUGCCCGA